rnacentral:tRNA from 1 species
GCGGGGGUCGCCUAGUCUGGUCAAGGGCGCUGGUCUCAGAAACCAGUGGCUUAGUGCCUUCGUGGGUUCAAAUCCCACCCCCCGCA